GCCCAUGUAGUAUAGUGGUUAGUACUCCACGUUGUGGCCUUGGCGACGCUGGUUCGAUUCCAGCCAUGGGCA
rfam:Pristionchus pacificus strain PS312 contig12283, whole genome shotgun sequence.